rnacentral:rRNA from 1 species
AUUGAACGCUGGCGGCAGGCCUAACACAUGCAAGUCGAGCGGAGCGGCGGACGGGUGAGUAAUGCCUAGGAAUCUGCCUGGUAGUGGGGGAUAACGUCCGGAAACGGGCGCUAAUACCGCAUACUAUCAGAUGAGCCUCGGUCGGAUUCGCUAGUUGGUGGGGUAAAGGCCUACCAAGGCGACGAUCCGUAACUGGUCUGAGCGGAUGACCAGCCAAACGGGAACUGAGACACGGUCCAGACUCCUACGGGAGGCAGCAGUGGGGAAGAUUGCACAAUGGGCGCAAGCCUGAUGCAGCCAUGCCGCGUGUAUGAAGAAGGCCUUCGGGUUGUAAAGUACUUUCAGCGAGGAGGCGUUACUCGCAGAAGAAGCACCGGCUAACGCCGUGCCAGCAGCCGCGGUAAUAC